rnacentral:lncRNA from 1 species
CUUUUUUCAACCGAUUUCUAGAAACGACGAAUUUUCCGCCGGAUUUUACGAUGUCAUCAAAUAAUUUGCAGUGCAUUUAACCCCAAUUUUGACAAAUUUGAUGGAUAAAUCGUUCAAAAUGUUACCGACGUGAAUAAAUUGUGAAAAAAUUACAAUUAACAUAUCUUGUGCAAAUCUCGCUUGUGGAAGCAGCACAUCCAACUUUUCGCUCCGCUCUAUAAUUUGAAAUCGUUCAUAAAGCUGUUCAAAGCCUCAUUCAACAUGCAGUGCCACAUAUACUUACUUGUGCGUUUACUUUUAGAAAAUAUUCCGGCGACGUAAACAGUUUUUCGUGUUGCCAUCGUCUCAUGAACUGAAAGGAAGUUUUUUUCGUAUGCAGAAUUGAAUCUCCGACAAUUUCCGAGAGUUGAUAAGCGGCAUUUUUUAAUCAACUUGAAAUCAAACGCAGCUUGUAAUUUCUUCGCGGUUUUUUUUUGUUUACUUGAUUGUGCGGGAGUGGUGCAAAGUGUUUUGAUUUACAUCUUGAAAUUUCAACGAAGCCCUCUUUCGUGCCCGACCGCAACAUUCAUCGAAAAGGCAUCGGUGUCACCUUAUCCCCGCAGCUUCUUAUCUGCCGAUUGGAAAGAAACGGAUGCGUUAACGGCGAUUGGUUCCCUGGAAAAGCGUCUGGGCCGUAACGUAAUCUUCGGUUAACGACCGUUUCCUUAUCGGUUCCCGGUAUACCGGCGCCGGAAACCGCGCUAUUCUCGGUUUGGCAAAUUUUCCGGUUUCCUCGCAUUUUUCCCCCGGGCGGUGUUGUCGUAGGAAUUGUGACGCGGCGGAGAAUUUCCACGUGUGUUGUUUUUCCGGGUGUGACGUUGUGUGUGUGAACAGGCGAGUGCGUUUACACUCGCGUUGGAUUGCAGAUCAUGGAUUAACAGAUUGCCGAGAUGCUGAAAAUUCAGAUGUUGGAACAUUUCGUCCAGGACGAAGGAAAUGGGUAAGUCUCAAGUUCAAUUUCAUUCGAGUCAAUGCUGUUUAUGUGCAGGUGGUAAGUGACCUA